rnacentral:misc_RNA from 1 species
CAGAGAGCCAUCUUACUGUAAUGCAUACCGUGCAAGCUGGUGGGAGCUCAUGGUACUUGCUUCUCAUGCGCACCCAUCUGUUGCUACCAUGGCUAGGACUCUUCUAUCUGGGGCCAAUAUAGUUUAUAAUGGUAAUCCAUUAAAUGAUCUAUCUCUUAGUGCUUUUCUAGACAAGUUCAUGGAAAAGAAACCUAAGCAGACAGCAUGGCAUGGUGGCUCCCAAAUUGAACCAGCCAAGAAGCUUGACAUGAACAAUCAUCUAAUUGGAUCAGAGAUUCUGUCAUUGGCUGAAGUGGAUGUGCCUCCUGAAGAUCUUGUUUUUCACAAGUUCUAUAUGAACAAAAUGAACAGCACAAAGCCAAAGAAGAAGAAAAAGAAGAAGUUAGCUGAAGAGGAGGCUGCUGAAGAGCUUUUUGAUGUGGGUGAUGGUGAUGAAGUAGGUGGUGCUGAUGAGAGUGAUAAUGAAGAGAUUGAGAAUAUGUUGGAUUCUGCUAAUCUUUCUUUUGAUGCUGAUGGUGAAUAUGACUACGAUGAUUUAGACCAAGUUGUCAAUGAAGAGGACGAUGACUUGAUUGGAAAUGCAAGCGAUGUGGAAAUGGAUGACAUCUCGGAUAUUGCUGUGGAAGAAGAUUCUGAUGGCAUUGCUGAUGUAGAUAACAGUGAAGACGAUGUUGAAGCUGUCAACAUAGGGGAUGUAGAUGAUGGUAGCGAUGAAGAAGAUGAAUUCGAAAACAGGAAAAGAAAACGAAUGUCUGGUGGGAAGGUUGGUGCAUCGCCAUUUGCAAGUAUAGAAGAUUAUGAGCACUUGAUAAAUGAAGAAAGUCCUGAAAAGAAGAAAUCUAUGAAAAAGAAAAAGCCGAAAUCACGAAAGAAAAGAAAGUCAUCAUAGCGGAUUGCCUCAUUCACAAUCUCAUGAAAAUCAGUCUACAACAAAAUUUCCCCUGGUUUAGUGGAAUGAGCAUUGAAUGAAUUGCUCUGAGGAGUUUUGGUUUAUACAAUAUUCGGUUUUGAGGAAGCUAUUAGGCUGCUGAAGUGUUGGUUGAUGCUGGGUGAUUUUGGUCGAGCAACCGGCCGGUCAACAGUGGGGCAACAUAUCACAUUUAAGGAUGGAUUGUACGAUUAUUUGGUUCUUAUUUACUUAAAGAUGCCUAAAAGAUAUCUGUUAUCUUUUCUUGUUCUUUAGGAUCCUAAUUUUGCAUCCGCC